rnacentral:misc_RNA from 1 species
AGAAGAGGAUUGCCAAGUACAAGGUUUACGCAGUGGAAGGUAAGUUCAAGGCUUCCUUCAAGAACGGGUUGCGUUGGAUCAAGAACAAGUGCUCUGAGAUCAUCCAUGGAUACUAGGAGAAUUGAUUUCGGCUCUGAUGAUUACAUGUGGGAUGGGUCCCAUGACAAGUGGUACCCGUUGCGUAUGUGGCAGGAUCUUAGUUGCGGGGUAAUGGUAAGUUAAAACUAGACUCGUUUGUUGAUUUGUGUGUGUUCAAAUGGCGAAAC